rnacentral:rRNA from 1 species
UACGUAGGGUGCAAGCGUUGUUCGGAUUUACUGGGCGUAAAGGGCGCGUAGGCGGCGCGGUAAGUCACUUGUGAAAUCUCUGAGCUUAACUCAGAACGGCCAAGUGAUACUGCAGUGCUAGAGUGCAGAAAGGGCAAUCGGAAUUCUUGGUGUAGCGGUGAAAUGCGUUGAUAUCUGGAGGAACACCGGUGGCGAAGGCGGCAUCCUGGACCGAGAUUGACGCUGAUGCGCGAAAGCUAGGGUAGCAAACGGG